rnacentral:rRNA from 1 species
AGAGUUUGAUCAUGGCUCAGGAUGAACGCUAGCUACAGGCUUAACACAUGCAAGUCGAGGGGAAACGACAUCGAAAGCUUGCUUUUGAUGGGCGUCGACCGGCGCACGGGUGAGUAACGCGUAUCCAACCUGCCCACCACUUGGGGAUAACCUUGCGAAAGUAAGACUAAUACCCAAUGAUAUCUCUAGAAGACAUCUGAAAGAGAUUAAAGAUUUAUCGGUGAUGGAUGGGGAUGCGUCUGAUUAGCGUUGUUGGCGGGUAACGGCCACCAAGGCGACGAUCAGUAGGGUUCUGAGAGGAACGUCCCCANAUUGGAACUGAGACACGGUCCAAACGUCCUACGGGAGCA